rnacentral:misc_RNA from 1 species
GUAGGUGAACCUGCGGAAGGAUCAUUGCAAUGCCGGCGACGUGCCCUCCCUAAAAAAGGGGGCCGCCGCUUCCAUUACACCCAACGCCCUGUGAACCUGGCUGUCAGGACGCACCGAAGACUCCACCUGGGCGGAGUCGACAAAAAAAGGUGCCCCUCAGCCCCCCAAUCAAUCAAUUUAUGUUUUUUUCCCUUCUCUCCUAGACUGAAGCGAAACACAAACCAAAACAUUCUUACAACUUUUAACAAUG